ACCCAGCUAACGAGUCCCAAAUAGGACGAAACGCGCGUCCUGGAU
rfam:Schistosoma mansoni, Puerto Rico, WGS project CABG01000000 data, contig: 0370